GAGCAGCCGGAGCAGCUGUUCCCACUCUCCCAAACAGUUGUGGCAUCAACCUGCCCGGGCAUAAAUCACCCCCCUGGGCUCGUCUGUUCCUGGUGGCCACUUGCAGCCACGGGAAAUAAGCCAUUAGCCAGGAGCGGGGCAGGCCUGAGGGUUAAGGAGAUGGUGAUAGAUUGGGGGGGAGGAGGUGAAUGGAGUUUGGGAAGCACCAGCAGAACGUGGCUUCCCACUGGCAGGGCCAGAUUCUGCCUGGCACCGUGUCCCCGUCACUGCCUGGUCCUGUGUCCCCAUCACUGCCUGGUCCUGUGUCCCCAUUGCUCUCCAGUCCUGUGUCCCCAUUGCUCUCCAGUCCCAUGUCCCCCUUGCUGCCCUCUUCUGCAUCCUCUUUCCUGCCCCAUCCUGCAGCCCUGUUCCUGCCCCGACCCAUGUCCCCCUUCCUGCCCUGUCCCAUGUCCCCAUUGCUGCCCUGUUCUGCACCACCAUCGCUGUCCCAUCACAUGUUACCGUCACUGUCCCACCCCAUGUCCCCAUCACUGUGCCAUCCCAUGUCCCCAUCACUGUCCCAUCCCAUGUUCCCAUCAUUGUCCAAUCCCAUGUCCCCAUCCCAUGUCCCCAGCACUGUCCCAUCCCAUGUCCCCAUCACUGUCCCAUCCCAUGUCCCCACCACUGUCCCAUCCCAUGUCCCCGUCCUGUGUUCCCAUCACUGUCCCAUCCCAUGUUCCCAUCCCAUGUUCCCAUCCCAUGUCCCCCUUGCUGUCCCACCCCAUGCUCCCAUCACUGUCCCAUCCCAUGUUCCCAUCCCAUGCCCCCAUCACUGUCCCAUCCCAUGUCCCCAUCACUGUCCCAUCCCAUGUUCCCAUCCCAUGUUCCCAUCAUUGUCCCAUCCCAUGUCCCUGUCCUGUGUCCCCAUCACUGUCCCAUCCCAUGUCCCCAUCACUGUCCCAUCCCGUGCCCCCAUCGCUGUCCAUCCCAUGCUCCCAUCACUGUCCCAUCCCAUGACCCCAUCACAUGUCCCCAUCCCAUGUCCCCAUCGCUGUCCCAUCCCAUGUCCCCAUCACUGGGCCAUCCCCACAACCCUGGACUCUGUGCCUGCCCCACUCAGACCACGGCCAAGGGGGAUGGGAUGGGCAUGUGGGGGGCACCCAGCUCCCCCCAGCACACCCCCAGCACGCAGACCCCAGUCUCCAGCCCCUCCCUGGGAGCAUCUUGGGGACAAUCCCCUGCAAUGCACAUCUUCCCACCUCACUCCCAGCCCUGGGGCUGGACCACCAACCCUCCUGGGGUCCCAGCAGUGGGUGAGGGGGCUGCGGGGGGGGCUCACCCCAGCAGAGCCCCAUCCAUCCCCGGGUGGCACUGGGCACUGCCGGAGUUGAUGGAGCAGCCGUUGCUGAUCAGCAGGG
rnacentral:lncRNA from 1 species